GAUGAACGCUGGCGGCGUGCCUAAUACAUGCAAGUCGAACGCUUCACUUCGGUGAAGAGUGGCGAACGGGUGAGUAAUACAUAAGUAACCUGGCAUCUACAGGGGGAUAACUGAUGGAAACGUCAGCUAAGACCGCAUAGGUGUAGAGAUCGCAUGAACUCUAUAUGAAAAGUGCUACGGGACUGGUAGAUGAUGGACUUAUGGCGCAUUAGCUGGUUGGUAGGGUAACGGCCUACCAAGGCGACGAUGCGUAGCCGACCUGAGAGGGUGACCGGCCACACUGGGACUGAGACACGGCCCAGACUCCUACGGGAGGCAGCAGUAGGGAAUUUUCGGCAAUGGGGGAAACCCUGACCGAGCAACGCCGCGUGAAGGAAGAAGUAAUUCGUUAUGUAAACUUCUGUCAUAGAGGAAGAACGGUGGAUAUAGGGAAUGAUAUCCAAGUGACGGUACUCUAUAAGAAAGCCACGGCUAACUACGUGCCAGCAGCCGCGGUAAUACGUAGGUGGCGAGCGUUAUCCGGAAUUAUUGGGCGUAAAGAGGGAGCAGGCGGCACUAAGGGUCUGUGGUGAAAGAUCGAAGCUUAACUUCGGUAAGCCAUGGAAACCGUAGAGCUAGAGUGUGUGAGAGGAUCGUGGAAUUCCAUGUGUAGCGGUGAAAUGCGUAGAUAUAUGGAGGAACACCAGUGGCGAAGGCGACGAUCUGGCGCAUAACUGACGCUCAGUCCCGAAAGCGUGGGGAGCAAAUAGGAUUAGAUACCCUAGUAGUCCACGCCGUAAACGAUGAGUACUAAGUGUUGGGUGUCAAAGCUCAGUGCUGCAGUUAACGCAAUAAGUACUCCGCCUGAGUAGUACGUUCGCAAGAAUGAAACUCAAAGGAAUUGACGGGGGCCCGCACAAGCGGCGGAGCAUGUGGUUUAAUUCGAAGCAACGCGAAGAACCUUACCAGGUCUUGACAUCGAUCUAAAGGCUCCAGAGAUGGAGAGAUAGCUAUAGAGAAGACAGGUGGUGCAUGGUUGUCGUCAGCUCGUGUCGUGAGAUGUUGGGUUAAGUCCCGCAACGAGCGCAACCCCUGUUGCCAGUUGCCAGCAUUAAGUUGGGGACUCUGGCGAGACUGCCGGUGACAAGCCGGAGGAAGGCGGGGAUGACGUCAAAUCAUCAUGCCCCUUAUGACCUGGGCUACACACGUGCUACAAUGGACAGAGCAGAGGGAAGCGAAGCCGCGAGGUGGAGCGAAACCCAUAAAACUGUUCUCAGUUCGGACUGCAGUCUGCAACUCGACUGCACGAAGAUGGAAUCGCUAGUAAUCGCGAAUCAGCAUGUCGCGGUGAAUACGUUCUCGGGCCU
rnacentral:rRNA from 1 species